GGUGACGUGGCCGAGUGGUUAUGGCGCUAGUUUCAGGUUGUUAUCAAUCUACUAGUGGGAAACCGCGUGAGUUCGAGUCUCACCGUCAUCA